rnacentral:hammerhead_ribozyme from 1 species
ACACUGCUGAGGAGUCCUACAAUUGGACGAAACGGUCGUCCAGUGC